GGGGAGCCCUAGCACAGGUGCUGCAUGGCCGUCGUCAGCUCGUGCCGUGAGGUGUUGGGUUAAGUCCCGCAACGAGCGCAACCCCGCCGUUAGUUGCCAGCGGUUCGGCCGGGCACUCUAACGGGGACUGCCCGCGAAAAGCGGGAGGAAGGAGGGGACGACGUCUGGUCAGCAUGGCCCUUACGGCCUGGGCGACACACGUGCUACAAUGCCCACUACAAAGCGAGGCCACCCGGCAACGGGGAGCUAAUCGCAAAAAGGUGGGCCCAGUUCGGAUUGGGGUCUGCAACCCGACCCCAUGAAGCCGGAAUCGCUAGUAAUCGCGGAUCAGCACGCCGCGGUGAAUACGUUCCCGGGCCCUU
rnacentral:rRNA from 1 species